rnacentral:rRNA from 1 species
GACGAACGCUGGCGGCGUGCUUAACACAUGCAAGUCGAACGAUGAAGCCCAGCUUGCUGGGUGGAAGAGUGGCGAACGGGUGAGUAACACGUGAGUAACCUGCCCCGAACUCUGGGAUAAGCACUGGAAACGGUGUCUAAUACUGGAUAUGACCCAUACAGGCAUCUGUUGUGGGUGGAAAGAUUUAUCGGUUCGGGAUGGGCUCGCGGCCUAUCAGCUAGAUGGUGAGGUAAUGGCUCACCAUGGCGACGACGGGUAGCCGGCCUGAGAGGGUGACCGGCCACACUGGGACUGAGACACGGCCCAG